ACGCAUAGAGCAAAGGCAUUAAGGCAUGCAUGCUUCAAACACCCCCAUUUGCAUAAAAGCUUUUUUCCAGUAAUCAUGAUGACAUAUGAUUGUUUUAUAGGAAGUUGAGGAAGAGCAGGGAGAUAUAGAUCUGCCAUAUCCAGCUGAAAGUCACUGGCAGCUAUCUCAGUCUGCAGCUCUCCCUCCACCAGUCAAAACCAUCCAUGCGGUGAAGCCAGCACGUGUGAGCAGUGACCAUGACGCUGCACUUCACCCAAUCACAAUCGAGAAAGACUGUAAAAUGAAGAAAACAACUUUUAAUGUAUAUUCUUUGGAAGAGUUGACUAAAACCAACAAAAAAGAUGUGAUGUGUUCAGUGUGGAGGACUGCUGGAGUCCCACUGCCUUCUAAUGACCGGUCACUAGAGAGUGGCAGUGAGCCACGAACAGCAAACAGUCUCAUCUUUGAACCAGUUUCAACAAAGAAGCAGAAAAAACGAACCGAUAUUAAACCCACUGAUGAGUUUCAGAACAAAGAGAUAAGUAAACUACAAAAAAUACCAACAGAAGAGCCUGCGUUCUUUCAAAUUCGGUGUGCAGGUUGCGUGGUGCCCUUUGAAAAAGUGACGAGUCGUAACUUUGCAUCCCUUCAAAGCUUUUGCCACAACAGCUGUCACAUGCAUCGGGUCCUCAAAGAGGCUACGGAGCGAUUCAGGAAAGCUCAUUUAAACCGCGUGUUUACAAAAGAGUAUCAGGAUAUCCAGAAGAACCUCGCAAGCAAAAGUGCAGUUUCAGAUGCACAAUCUCUAAGAAACUCUCAGAACUGGAACCGUAGAGAAGGAAGCAGCAGGAGUUGAGCGGUGAGGAGGUCCAGUUCCUCCUCUCUGGAGUAAAGAAGUAUGGCUUCUCCUGGAACUCCAUCUUGUGGUCAUUUCCCUUUCCACCGGGGUGCACUAACGUCGGCCUGGCCAAGAAAUACAGGCAACUCGUGGUAAAAUGAGCAAACAUGAAGUGAAGUAGGUAAUUUAAAGAAUUAGCUAGACAAACGUGCUUACAUACAAACGUUUUUCUCUAAAAAUUUAAAUCCACGGGUGAUGACUGGGCAUAAUUGUUUGGAGACUGUUAUUGUUCUGCACAUAUUUUAGGAAUAUUUCCAUUCUGUUUGUGUUUAAUAUGUAAAUAAUACAGAUUACAAUUUUUUUUUCUUUUGAUUAAAUAUAAGUCUACCUUCUAUUCAACAGAAGUUUUUAUGAACAUGAACUGAGUUAUCAAAUAAAAAAAAACUUCAUUUAUACAAAUUUCCUUUAUAGUAAGUGACAGCAACAAUAGAGUUUGUUGUGUAGUCUUUUAUACAGGAGUUGUGGUAAAUUAACAAAUCAGACGUGCACCAAUUAAAGCCUCUUCCUUCUUUAUUGAGACGCAUUUUGAACAGUAUCUUUAUUUUUGGGGCUGAACAGUGACACAGUGCUAAGUGUGUUUCUUUGUCUUGAGAAGGCCACGGUUCAAUUCCCAGCUGGGACCUUUCUGUGUGGAAUCUGCAUCCGUGGGCUUUCUCCAGAGACUUCAGCUUCCUUGCACAGUCCAUAAACAUACUUUGUCCAUAAACGACUGAUUACUCUAAAGUUUGACUGUGUGGGUUUGUGAUUGUGUGACCCUGCGAUAGGCCCUCAACUUACCCAGUGUGUACCCCGCCUUUGUCCAACGUUCGGCUCUGCCAGCCCUAUGGCCCUUAGUCAAAGGGAACUUUGGUGCAAUUUAUUCAAUGUGACAGUGAAAAAAAGAGUUGCAGAUGUAACAUACAAAGAAGAUUUGUCACCUGCAUGAUUCCAAUCUGAAUCAUCUCUUACUUAUGCUGGAUGGUAUGUUCUAAUCCGCUUGUGCAGCUGCCAGUGUGAGUCAAAUCUCAUGCAGUCGACAUAUUUUUACUCUUUGCUGCAUGUUUGACCCCAGAAAUGAAUCAAAAAGUUCCAUCUGUUGGAAUGUAUUAAUUGUUGGAAUGUUUUUUCAAGAAAUGUAUUUCUGUUAGCAGACGGUGAGACCUUUUCUUGGACCCUUAAAUCAUAUUUUUGCUAUAGCUCUUGGACACAUGGCUUCACGGAAGCAAAUACCAAGUUGUGUUUGCUUUGGCCACCACAAUCCCUAGAGGGACAGGAAAUCAACAAGGGGAGAGGGGACUCGACUCCAGCACUUUUGUUUAUUGUGCCGAAAGCCCCUGGUAUGAGAGGAAUCGCAAAUAGUGCAAAUCAAGCUGUUUAUCUGUUCUGUGUUCACCAAGAGCAGCUCUGCCUGCAAACUGUCCUCUCACAAAAGAAGGGUGUUAAGCUGAGAUCACCGUCUGAAGGUUACCUCGCCUACUCUGUGGGGACUCGUCAAACGGCUGCCAAAAAGACGGGGACUUACCCGCUGGCCGUGCCCUGCAGGAAAUGCUCUUAAGUGUGUCUGUUUUCUCUUCAAAAACUCUCCCUUUCAUUUUUCUUGUCACCUCCUGAUGCCCGUUCCUCCUGUGUUUGAUCCAGAUGCUGGGAUAACAGUGGCGUGGGGGCAGGACGGG
rnacentral:lncRNA from 1 species